CACGUAGGGGGCAAGCGUUGUCCGGAUUUAUUGGGCGUAAAGAGCUCGUAGGCGGCAAAUUAAGCCAGGUGUGAAAUCCCCGGGCUCAACCUGGGAAUGGCAUUUGGGACUGCAAGGCUGGAGUGCGGCAGAGGAGACUGGAAUUCCUGGUGUAGCAGUGAAAUGCGUAGAUAUCAGGAGGAAUACCGAUGGCGAAGGCAGGUCUCUGGGCUGACACUGACGCUCAUGCACGAAAGCGUGGGGAGCAAACAGG
rnacentral:rRNA from 1 species